rnacentral:lncRNA from 1 species
GCCACGUCACGGUUCCCAGCCUGCACCCUUUCUGCUUAUUUGUGACAUCUGGUUCUUUACGGGAAUGUUUCAUUCGCUAAAUACUCUUCCGUGCUGCAGCCUCUGGCGCAGCAUGUAAUUGCUGAGCGUUGAAUUAUGUGAUAGCAUUUGGAAAGCUAAUCCAUUAAUAAUGAGAGAAUUGGGCAAUCAGAUUCCAGUGGGUGAAAUCACAUGUGCCUCAUAUGCUACAGAUUACGUCUGAGCAGAUGGAGAGAGAGCAACGUGCAUAGGAUGCUGAUUCUAAAAGUGAAGAAUGUGUGGGAAACAAGUGGUGUAUCAGCGUUUGAUUUCGGUCGAGGGCAAUUCUAUGCACACCAAUGAGAACUGGGUCAACCACUGUGUGAAAUGCAUUACACUUAAUAAUAGUAAUGUCUAGAGAAGUGAAGUUGCAUUAUACAUAUGAAAUGUUUUUUCAAGUCUUUGGGUCUGCAGCUAAAAGUAGAAAAUUGCUUGCAAUCAGACAAGUCUUGUGAGGUCCCCAAAUUAAAUUUUUUCUGGUCCCGUGCUUUAGAUUUGGGUUGGAGUCUGCACCUCUGGUAAUGGGCCUCACAUGUUACCGAUCCUGUGGCAGAACUCGAGUUCGACCCAUUGGCAGAUCUAAUACUGCAUGCUGGAUCUAUACACACUUUUUGAGCUGCAUUAAGCGGGCCUAAUUGUACAUGUAAAUUCUGCAUUAAACUUUUAUUGAAAAGUAAAAAUACUGAUCAUCUAUUUCAGCAUACAUUAGAAAAUACAACUACAAACGUG